rnacentral:lncRNA from 13 species
GGGGUGCGUGGUUAGAGAGCACUGCUCUUGGGGGUGCGUGGUUAGCGGGCACCGCCCUGUGGAGACUACCAUCCCUGUGCCCGCUGCACCUUCCUCACCAGGCAGGGUUACAAAAAAAAGAAUACAAAUUCUACUUUUGUUUUCAAGUGCGUUUUGUUCAAUACAUAAUGUACAGACUUGUGCUCUUAAUAAUUUUUUUUAACUUAUUUUCUACGUAAAGAUUGUGCAUUUGUAAAUAACCCAUGUAAUUAUGGUUUUAAACUUGUACAGGGAAAAAAUAAGUAAUAGAUAUUUUAAUCGUAAAAGGUUAUUGUUUUGUCUGGACCAAAGUUGUUUUUUUUUAUAUUGAGUCGGUGUCAAGUUCCUUGUUGUUAUUAUUGUUAGUCGAUGUUAUUGGCUUAACUCUUGAAGCAUGUGUUGAAUCGGAUUUGGUUCCGUUUGGUUCCGUUGUUUCUUCCGUCUCCAUUUCCCCUCUGGACUGGAGUUGGAUCCAGGCACCACAACGAGGUGUUCGUUCUAAUGGAG